UGAGGAAUAUUGGACAAUGGGCGCAAGCCUGAUCCAGCCAUGCCGCGUGUGUGAAGAAGGUCUUCGGAUUGUAAAGCACUUUAAGUUGGGAGGAAGGGCAGUAAAUUAAUACUUUGCUGUUUUGACGUUACCGACAGAAUAAGCACCGGCUAACUCUGUGCCAGCAGCCGCGGUAAUACAGAGGGUGCAAGCGUUAAUCGGAAUUACUGGGCGUAAAGAGCGCGCAGGCGGAUUGUUAAGUCGGACGUGAAAACUAUGGGCUCAACCCAUAGCCCGCAUUCGAUACUGAUGAUCUGGAGUCUCGGAGAGGUAGGCGGAAUUCUCGGUGUAGCGGUGAAAUGCGUAGAUAUCGAGAGGAACACCAAUGGCGAAGGCAGCCUACUGGACGGUGACUGACGCUGAGGCGCGAAAGCGUGGGGAGCAAACAGGAUUAGAUACCCCCGUAGUCCCUGAGCGGGCUGGCAAGGCGCAU
rnacentral:rRNA from 1 species